GCCUAACACAUGCAAGUCGAGCGGCAGCGAGAGUAGUAGCAAUACUACUUGUCGGCGAGCGGCGGACGGGUGAGGAACACGUAGGAAUCUACCCAGAAGAGGGGGAUAAACAAGGGAAACUUUGGCUAAUACCGCAUAAUCUCGAGAGAGAAAAGCUGCCCGCAAGGGUGGCGCUUUUAGAGGAGCCUGCGUCCGAUUAGCUCGUUGGUAGGGUAAAGGCCGACCAAGUCGAUGAUCGGUAACUGGUCUGAGAGGACGACCAGUCACAUUGGGACUGAGACACGGCCCAGACUCCUACGGGAGGCAGCAGUGGGGAAUAUUGGACAAUGGGGGAAACCCUGAUCCAGCGAUGCCGCGUGAGUGAAGAAGGCCUUCGGGUCGUAAAGCUCUUUAGGUUGGGAAGAAGGUUGUUAGGGUAAUAUCCUAGCAAUUUGACGGUACCGACAGAAUAAGCACCGGCAAACUCUGUGCCAGCAGCCGCCGUAA
rnacentral:rRNA from 1 species